GGAGAGAUGGCUCAGUGGUUAAGAGCACUGACUGCUCUUCCAGAGGUCCUGAGUUCAAAUCCCAGUCAACCA
rnacentral:tRNA from 1 species